rnacentral:rRNA from 1 species
AUGAUCAUUGGCAUACUUACCCCGGAUGAUGCCUCAUUUCUUCAGAAUUUGAGGCUGUUCUUGAUAUGCCAGGACAAUUUGAUUUUUGGAGGACAAAGGUUAGACAAGGAUGAGAAUGGGAUACCAGAUUACAGCGAUGGAGGCUCGGACAUGGAUCUGCUCAUGCUCUCAGCAGGAAUAUUGGAUGUUCUCGAAGCUUUGCCAUACACACGUGCUACUUUUGGCACUUGCGUGGGCUCCAGUUUGUGUCAAUGCAAUUUGCAUCUGUCAGCGGAUUAUGGCGAUCAGGCUUGGUUAUUGGCCUACAGGAACCAGGUGCUAUAA